rnacentral:rRNA from 1 species
AUUGAGACUUGUAUGAAAGGAAAAACGAGGUCUUAACUGUCUCCUGUAGGUAAUCUAUGAAAUUAGUAUUCCCGUGCAAAAACGAGAAUGUGAACAUAAGACGAGAAGACCCUGUGGAACUUUAAAAUCACGACCACCUUACAACCUUACACAGCCCCACUGGGUCCACCCACACAUAAACCCCUGGUCGACAUUUUUCGGUUGGGGCGACCUUGGAGAAAAAAAAAUCCUCCAAACCCACAGACCACAACUCUUCACUAAGACCAACUCCUCAAAGUACCAACAGUAACCAGACCCAAUAUAAUUGAGCAAUGGACCAAGCUACCCCAGGGAUAACAGCGCAAUCUCCUCCAAGAGCCCAUAUCGACAAGGAGGUUUACGACCUCGAUGUUGGAUCAGGACAACCUAAUGGUGCAACCGCUAUUAAGGGUUCGUUUGUUCAACGAUUAACAGUCCUACGUGAUCUGAGU